GUUUGACCUCAAAUCAGGUAGGAUUACCCGCUGAACUUAAGCAUAUCAAUAAGCGGA
rnacentral:rRNA from 1 species